AUUGAACGCUGGCGGCAGGCUUAACACAUGCAAGUCGAGCGAGCGGCGGACGGGUGAGUAAUGUAUGGGGAACUGCCCGAUGGAGGGGGAUAACUACUGGAAACGGUAGCUAAUACCGCAUACUAUCAGAUGGACCCAUAUGGGAUUAGCUAGUUGGUGGGGUAAUGGCUCACCAAGGCGACGAUCCCUAGCUGGUCUGAGAGGAUGACCAGCCACACUGGAACUGAGACACGGUCCAGACUCCUACGGGAGGCAGCAGUGGGGAAUAUUGCACAAUGGGCGCAAGCCUGAUGCAGCCAUGCCGCGUGUAUGAAGAAGGCCUUAGGGUUGUAAAGUACUUUCAGCGGGGAGGCGUUACCGACAGAAGAAGCACCGGCUAACUCCGUGCCAGCAGCCGCGGUAAUUC
rnacentral:rRNA from 1 species